rnacentral:rRNA from 1 species
GGCGCCCCGACCUCCCAACCCUGUGUCUACCCAACCGACCCAUGUUGCUUCGGCGGACCGGCCCCGUCCACCCUCCUCGCGGGGGGACAGACGGCGGCCGCCGGGACCGUCACACGUCCUGGAGCGCUGUCCGCCGACGGCCCAACCGAAAAUUCUUGUCGUAACCUGUCGUCUAAACGUAUUUUUACUAUGUAAACCAAAAAUUUACAAGCAAAACUUYCAACAAACGGAUCUCUUGGUUCUGGCAUCGAUGAAGAACGCAGCGAAAUGCGAUAAGUAAUGCGAAUUGCAGAAUUUCCGUGAGUCAUCGAAUCUUUGAACGCACAUUGCGCCCUUUGGUAUUCCGAAGGGCAUGCCUGUUCGAGCGUCAUUAUCCCCCCUCAAACCUCGGGUUUGGUGUUGGACCAAGUCCCCACGAACGACCACACCGGUCGCGCACGGGACCGGUCUCAAAGACAAUGACGGCGUCCGCGGGACCCCCGGUACAAUGAGCUUUCUGUGUUUUUGCACGGGUCGAGCACGUACCGACGGUGUCGCGUGGACCCCGGUCGACCACCUUUAUUUUAUCAGGUUGACCUCGGAUCAGGUAGGAAUACCCGCUGAACUUAAGCAUAUCAAUAAGCGGAGGA